ACUAAACCCUCUGGGAGUAGUCCUGUCGUCAAAUAUACGUCACAGAGAUCACCACAUAUAUUUAAGAAAAGUAUAUCGCCGAUCAAAACUUCAACACCUAUAUAUAUUAGACGUAAUAUGUUCACCCAAAAUCACGAAAUUUUCGAAACAAAAAUGGCAGAUAUACAGAAUUUUUUAUUCACGAACAUCGGUGAAAGCCAAGAUGACCGAGGAAGACCAUAAGGAAGAGCAUGUAUUAGACAACGAAGAAGAUAUAGAAGAAGACAUAGAAGAAGACCACGUAGUAGACCACGAGAAGAAAGACCACAUGGAAGACCUUGAGGAAGAAUAUAAAGUUUUUCAAAGUGCUUUAGAUAAACUCUCAGACGUAGGGAAAAGGGAAAGAUUUUUUUUUUUUUUUCAUUAGUACAAAGUGGACGUUUUCCUUUUAAACAACAUUGCAUUAUACCUGUUUUUGGACAUUGUUGAGUAGUUUGAAAAGGACGAAUCCAGAUGAAUGAGAUACUCACCAACAUCUCUGCAGUAUUUUUGGUUAUCGUUGACAACAUUUUUUCUUUUUAUUCUUCGUGAAACAUUAUUAAACCUAGGUUCCCAC
rnacentral:lncRNA from 1 species